AACAUUGUCUCUAGAGAAAACUAAUUAAAGAUAACUCUGCCCAGUGAACACAUACUCAACGGCCGCGGGAGCCCGUGCUAAGGUAGCACAAUAAUGAGCCUCCUAAUUAGAGGAUAGAAUGAAUGAAUCAACAAGAUAAAUCCUGUCUCUUUAAGUCACCUCUAAAUUUAUCUUCAGGUGAAAAAGCCUGAAUCCCCCCCAAAGACAAAAAGACCCUAUAAAGCUUUAAUAAUAAAUAUUCAAAUCCAAAAAAAAUUUUUAGUUGGGGCGACUCCUAGAUCUAAACGCUUCCUAUUAAACUCCCAGAUCUUAUUAAUCUUUAUAAAUUAUUCACCUAAUCACUCAAGAAAGUUACUUUAGGGAUAACAGGCCAGUUCUUCUCAAGAGUACGCAUCACCAGAAGAGCUCGGCACCUCGAUGUUGGCUUUGGGGCCCUUCUCCACGCAAAAGUGGCGCAAGGAGGUUUGUUCAACCCUUAAUACCCUACAUGAUCUGAGUUCAAACCGGAG
rnacentral:rRNA from 1 species